GGAAUAUAAGAACCCGUCUCUUAACUUUUAACUAAAAAAGCUAAGAACUGGUUCUUAAAUAAGAGUUUUAAGAGCCGGUUAUUAACUUUUUAGUUAAAAAUUAAGAGACGGAUUCUUAUAUUCC
rnacentral:pre_miRNA from 1 species